UACAGAGGGGGCAAGCGUUGUUCGGAAUUACUGGGCGUAAAGGGCGCGUAGGUGGCCUUCUAAGUUGAACGUGAAAUCCCUGGGCUCAACCCAGGAACUGCGUCCAAGACUGGGAGGCUUGAAUCCGGGAGAGGGAUGCGGAAUUCCAGGUGUAGCGGUGAAAUGCGUAGAUAUCUGGAGGAACACCGGUGGCGAAGGCGGCAUCCUGGACCGUAU
rnacentral:rRNA from 1 species